AGUAAAAGUUGCUAAAAACACUUUUUAAUAUAUAUAUAUUAGAGUAUACUUCGUUAUCAUAGCCCACCCUACUUGAGUGGGAUAUAAGGCUUAGUUUGGUUUGGUUUGAGCAUGCUUUGUUAUGAAAAUUUCUUUGUCUAUGAACUGCAAUAUUUUUUUUUUGGGUUGAUAAAUCUAUGAACUGCAAUAUUAUUUAUCUCUCUCUCCCAACCCACCUGUAAGAAGGAGCAGUGCACUGGGAAAGAUAGAUUGGUUCUACUACCAAAACUACUCUAUUUUUGAAAACUUGAACUUCCAAUGAAUUGCCUGGUUGUAAAUGCUUGUAAAAACAAAUUUUCUUUGAAUAUCAAGGAAAAGACUUGUCCACUCCCUAUUUCCAUAGCUUGUUUAACGUCUUCAAACUUGACUUUGAGAAAGAAGUUGCUUGAUGUGAGUUGAAUUGGGUAACAGAACUGUUUGGUUAUUAAUGACAACUUUUGUUGGUUUAAUGGCCAAAAUCAUAUGAUGAUGUUGUCCUUUUGUAUAAAUUAUCAACAUCAACAAUUUGAAGGACAAACAAAUAAGUUUAUGGGAGUAGAAUAAUAUCUUUUCAAUUCAUAAGCUCUAUAAUGUAACCCAUUGUAGGUUUGGUAUUCACAAACUGCUCUAAAAGCUUAACUUGUUACAAAGGGUGUAGCUUAAAGAAUAUAUAUUGUCAACAUGCCCCCUCAUGUGUGCCAAACUCCAGAUAAGAACCAAAUUCUCAAGGUUUUAAGCAAUCGGAAAGGAUUUGAAGUUUUUUUUUAUAUUGUCAACAGGCUGCCUCUGGUAUGGCCAAAUUUAUUUUAUUGAGUUGGCAAACUCAUGCAUACCUUAAAUUUUAUUAGGUGAGCUUGAGACUUGAAUACAAGACCUUCCCAUUUUGAUGCCAUGUUAACCAACAAUGGCUCUUAAAAGAUUUUAGAGGAGUUGAGCAAAUGGUUUUUAACAUGGCAUUAAAGCAAACAAGUCUUGAGCUUGUAUUGCACAGUUACCUUAUAGAUGUCAUACACAAUUGUCAUUGGCUCGCUCAUGGACGGGAUUUUGGCCACACGAGGAAGUGCAUUGAUGAUGAAAUUUCAAAAUUAAGAUACGAAUUAUGCCCGCGCGUGAUGAAAGAAAGGAAGUUCUGGAAGAUAUACUUUAUUCUAGUUAAUAGUCAUGUGGCUCCGUGAGUAACUUGUCCUGCGUAAAUUCUUUUAUUUUUGUGUACUGACUAAGGCUUACAUUGCUUUCACAACCUAAAUCAGUCUUUGACCCAUCAGCAGAUAUUCUUGCAUCAUUUGCAUUCAUAGACAGUGCCAUUUUCUUAUAGGCUUAAUAUGACAUAUAAUAAAUAUAUAAAAUUAUAUGUUUUGCAAUUAGGUGGUGUGCUUUUCACCCAAGCUUGUUCCUCAAGUCGUGAGAUAUUAAGAGGUGUAAAUUUUUCAAUUUCUUUGCUGCAAAUUACUCUCUAGUUUAUCAAAAAAAUUGUUCAAUUUCUUACAAUGAAUGUUCGUUUGAGUGUUGUAUCUUCUUUAUUCUGCAGUUUGCAUUGGGCUGAACUCUGUAUGCAUUUUUUUUUCACAAACCAGUUGCAAAUCCAAACAAUCUGGUAUGUAAUUGUUUGGUUUGCUGUUUCUUUGUCUUCUAUGGAGAUGUCAUUACUUGAUUUCUAUGCUUCUAUAUUAGAUUGAUGCUUGUUAUUGCCCCAAUUCUAUUUAAUAUUUGGCUCAGCCUAUGUAUUGUCUUUGUUUUGUUGUUUUGCUACAAUUUUAUCUUUUGCUCACCAUGUGUUUGAUAAUAUGCCCAAACCAAUAAUAACAUACUUUCAUUGAUCACUUACUGUUGUUGAUUAGGAAAAACAACUUAAUUUUUAUUAGUUUGUUUUCCUUGCCUGCAAUAUUUCGUACCACUCUUAAUCAACAAUAUGAUUUCAUUGGAUUUUCCCUUUUGGUUCAAAAUAAACCUUUAUUAAUUACUUAAUCUAAUCAAUACAAUGGCCACGUUUAGUGUUUCUUGUAGAGAUGGGCCUGCUUUAAAUGCCUAGGCCAAGUCUAACAAAAUUGUGCACGUACUCACUACUUUUGGCAUGUAGUUUGACUAUUUGCAUAGGGCUCGCUUGUUACUUGAUCUUGUGAUAUACAAGCACAAUUCAGCUCCUAUUGUUGGUGAUAUCGCGCAAUAUAAAGCUGAACUUAAAGCUAGGGGUGAAUUGAAACGGAAGUAGAGGCUAUAGACUUUCGUCAUCCUGAAAGAAGGAAAGAUAGUGGAUAAGGUUGUGGGAGAACAAAGACGAGUUGCUACCAUUGCCAAGUGUGUCAAUGCCGCCUGAUUAAUACUAUUAUGUUUCGAUUUUUACUUUUCAUGGUGUCUGUGGACCUUUGUCAUAUGAUACAUAUUGAUUUGGCUUUGCUUCAUAAUGGAAACACACUACUAUUCAUGUCUGGGAAACUUAGACAGAGCUUUAUAAUUAACAAGAUUCUUUGCUACA